AGUGAACGCUGGCGGUAGGCCUAACACAUGCAAGUCGAACGGCAGCACAGUAAGAGCUUGCUCUUACGGGUGGCGAGUGGCGGACGGGUGAGGAAUACAUCGGAAUCUACUUUUUCGUGGGGGAUAACGUAGGGAAACUUACGCUAAUACCGCAUACGACCUACGGGUGAAAGCAGGGGAUCUUCGGACCUUGCGCGAUUGAAGGAGCCGAUGUAGGAUUAGCUAGUUGGCGGGGGAAAGGCCCACCAAGGCGAAGAUCCGUAGGUGGUCUGGGGAGAUGAUCAGCCACACUGGAACUGAGACAAGGUCCAGAAUCCUAAGGGAGGCAGCAGUGGGGAAUAUUGGGCAAUGGGCGCAAGCCUUAUCCAGCCAUACCGCGUGGGUUGAGAAGGCCUUCGGGUUGGAAAGCCCUUUUGUUGGGAAAGAAAAGCAGCAGGUUAAUACCCCGCUGUUCUGACGGUACCCAAAGAAUAAGCACCGGCUAACUUCGUG
rnacentral:rRNA from 1 species